ACAGACGUGGCGGGGAUGGCAGGGCAGCGCUGACGUCCUGGAAUUAGUUUUGCUGUAGUUAGAGCUGUCUGUGGUGUCUCCAGAGGGCCGCAUGCGGGUGCUGAAGGUGCAGAAUUCCUCUCCCCCGGGGAGGCGGCCGUGGACUCCUAUCCCAACUGGCUCAAGUUCCACAUUGGUAUCAACCGGUACGAGCUGUACUCCAGACACAACCCGGCCAUCGAGGCCCUGCUGCACGACCUCAGCUCCCAGAGGAUCACCAGCGUGGCCAUGAAGUCGGGGGGCACGCAGCUGAAGCUCAUCAUGACCUUCCAGAAUUACGGGCAAGCGCUGUUCAAACCCAUGAA
rnacentral:misc_RNA from 1 species